rnacentral:rRNA from 1 species
UACGGAGGGUGCAAGCGUUAUCCGGAUUUACUGGGUUUAAAGGGUGCGUAGGUGGAUAAGUAAGUCAGUGGUGAAAUCUCCGGGCUUAACCCGGAAACUGCCAUUGAUACUAUUUGUCUUGAAUACUUGGAGGUAAGCGGAAUAUGUCAUGUAGCGGUGAAAUGCUUAGAUAUGACAUAGAACACCAAUUGCGAAGGCAGCUGGCUACACAAAUAUUGACACUGAGGCACGAAAGCGUGGGGAUCAAACAGG